GCUGGGCAUGGUGGCUUAUGCCUGUAAUCCUAGCACAUUGGGAGGCUGAGGCAGGAGGAUCACCUGAGGUCAGGAGUUCAAGCCCAGCCUGGCCAACAUGGUGAAACCCUGUCUCUG
rnacentral:SRP_RNA from 1 species